CUUUCAUGAUGAAAUUCCACCAUGGUCCGUGUUUCUGAAAUAACGUGAUUUUGUGGAACUUCUGAUUCA
ensembl:snoRNA SNORD18 Small nucleolar RNA SNORD18